AAGUCGUAACAAGGUUUCCGUAGGUGCAAUUGACCUGGCAUUCCUCUGCUUGUUAGUGUCUGAAAGUGUCAUGUACGGAUGGCGCCGUAACGAUCGCUGGAGGCCGACACGGCCGGCGACCAGGUCACUGGGCUACGGCCCCCCUGAUCAAAACCUUUGCAUGAAAACGGGCCUGCGCUGAGGUGCGGCCACUAAUGCUUGAACAACUGUUAACAAUGGAUAUCUUGGUUCUCC
rnacentral:misc_RNA from 1 species